CACUAGUGAUUAGAGUUUGAUCCUGGCUCAGAACGAACGCUGGCGGCAGGCCUACACAUGCAAGUCGAACGCUGUAGCAAUACAGAGUGGCAGACGGGUGAGUAACACGUGGGAAUCUUCCUAUCGGUACGGAAUAGCUCAGGGAAACUUGGGGUAAUACCGCAUACGCCCUUCGGGGGAAAGAUUUAUCGCCGAUAGAUGAGCCCGCGUCUGAUUAGCUAGUUGGUGAGGUAAUGGCUCACCAAGGCGACGAUCAGUAGCUGGUCUGAGAGGAUGACCAGCCACACUGGGACUGAGACACGGCCCAGACUCCUACGGGAGGCAGCAGUGGGGAAUAUUGGACAAUGGGCGCAAGCCUGAUCCAGCCAUGCCGCGUGAGUGACGAAGGUCUUCGGAUUGUAAAGCUCUUUUGGCGGGGACGAUAAUGACGGUACCCGCAGAAUAAGCCCCGGCUAACUUCGUGCCAGCAGCCGCGGUAAUACGAAGGGGGCUAGCGUUGUUCGGAAUUACUGGGCGUAAAGCGCACGUAGGCGGAUUGCUAAGUCAGGGGUGAAAUCCCGGGGCUCAACCUCGGAACUGCCUUUGAUACUGACAGUCUUGAGUCCGGAAGAGGUGAGUGGAAUUCCUAGUGUAGAGGUGAAAUUCGUAGAUAUUAGGAAGAACACCAGUGGCGAAGGCGGCUCACUGGUCCGGUACUACGCUAGUCAAAGC
rnacentral:rRNA from 1 species